ensembl:lncRNA
GUGGAACAUUUGUUCGCUUGGCUGAUUUUCCACUUGCCAGUGGAAAGAGCCCUGCAUAAAGCCACCUGGCUCUGGAGCUGAGGACCCUCCCCUCCACGGCCCAUCUGCUUAGAGGCGACUAUCUGGCCUGAGCCCUCAGCUCUUGGCAGAUCUCAUCUAAGGUAAACCUGGAUUGCUCCAAGGAUAAAUUAUGGGACUGCAGAGUUACAGAGGACCCUCCAGUUCACUUGUUCUGACCCCCCCACCCCGCAAAAGCAGGCGCCCCUUCUACAGUGGGAGUCCAUCCACCAAUUUCCAGUCAUCUUGUGCAGUGAAUUCCAGCAUGUAUCUUGGCCUGCUGCGAAAUGGAUAAUGGACACUUGCCAAUGAAACGGACCAGGGAGAAGAGCCUUCUGCUCCCAGGACCUUGGCCUGAUGGAUUUCCAGUUCUGGUGCUAGGAUUCUCCAGGGUAAAGGUUACUUUGGCUGAAUUUACCACCAUGUGAGUUGAGAUUCCUGCUGGGAGGAAUCAAAGGUUGCUCUACUUUGUGUCAAUAGUGGAGAGACUUGUUCUUCUUGCCGCACCCCACACCCCCCCCCAUUAAAUACGAUCAUUCUUUACUUAUUUGUACAAAAGUUUCUAGGAAUCUUUGCUACCAACACAUUAAAAAUAAAAGCAAAACACCUUUCCU